rnacentral:tRNA from 1 species
GCGGACGUGGCGAAAUCGGUAGACGCAGCAGACUUAAAAUCUGCCGGCCCAGUGUCAUGCGGGUUCAAGUCCCGCCGUCCGCACCA